rnacentral:rRNA from 1 species
AAUGAACGCUGGCGGCAUGCCUUACACAUGCAAGUCGAACGGCAGCAUGACCUAGCUUGCUAGGUUGAUGGCGAGUGGCGAACGGGUGAGUAAUGCAUCGGAACGUGCCUUUUAGUGGGGGAUAACGUAGCGAAAGUUACGCUAAUACCGCAUAUUCUCUGAGGAGGAAAGCAGGGGACCUUCGGGCCUUGCGCUAGAAGAGCGGCCGAUGUCGGAUUAGCUAGUUGGUGAGGUAAAGGCUCACCAAGGCAACGAUCCGUAGCGGGUCUGAGAGGAUGACACGCCACACUGGGACUGAGACACGGCCCAGACUCCUACGGGAGGCAGCAGUGGGGAAUUUUGGACAAUGGGCGCAAGCCUGAUCCAGCCAUGCCGCGUGAGUGAAGAAGGCCUUCGGGUUGUAAAGCUCUUUCGGCUGGGAAGAAAUCGCACCCUCUAAUACAGGGUGUGGAUGACGGUACCAGCAGAAGAAGCACCGGCUAACUACGUG